AUGGCUGGGCCCUGUCAUUACUGGGAGGGUCCGCUCUCCCACCCAAAAGAGCAAAGCCAAAGCUGGCGGCCUGUGCUGGGCGCUGAGACGUUCUCAGCCCUCAGUAGUCCUGGCUGGUGCAGCCAAAGGACUAAACGCUGCAAGCCUGUUUUCAUAAAACAUCGUGCUGAAGACCAAGAUCUAUUCAGCACUCGUCUUUGGGGCCUGUAUGAAAGCACAGGAACGAAUCUGGGAUGCAGAAAGUCAGGGGGUGCCCCGGCCACCCCCGAGAUCUACGCCCCCUGCCUACACGACGCUCUGCCGAUCCCUCCGCUCGCCCAGCCUGUGUGUGCAGAGAGGGUCCUGCCAGUGGCCCUGCCACAGCCUGGUUUUGAGACCUUCGCCUCUGUCAGGCCCAGCCAGGCUCUGAGUCUGUCCUCCGGGCCCCUGGUUCACCAGAUCAGGCCCAGUCCCGACCCCCAGCCCAUGCCAGGCCGCUUCUCUCUUCACCGGCUCCCUGGCUUGGGGGCCAUCACUGUGCAAAGGCCUGGUGGAUGCAAAGGGGGCCCUCAACCUCAGUAAUAAACACGCUCGCGCGGUCCUGCACACUCAUUAUACUCACAACCACACAGGCACACUUUCGCCCUCCUGGGCUCACUCAUGUGCGUGCACACAAAUCACUUUGGAAUGCACACACGUGCACACACACACUCCCUGAGACCCGCACGUACUCCCUGCGGCGUCCGGCACACUCCUCCGCCCGUCGUCCCCACUCGGGAAGUGGGUAGCGGGGAGCCAUGCCCGCGUCCCCGCACGCACUCACCCCAACAACGCCACCAGACGCUCCGGGGUGCACACGCACACCCGCCGGGGACGCGCACACCCCGGGACACGCGGACACGCCGCCACCCCCGCCCGCCCUGCCGCCGACACGCUUAGCCCCGCGCGGCCACACGCGCGCCCGCCUCCCGCUCUCCCCCGCGGAGCCCCGGGCGCGCGCCCGCCCUCGGCCCGGCUGGGGGUGACGGCCCAGGCGCCCGGCCCCCGCCCCUCCCCGGCCCGCGGGGCCCCAUCGGCCCGACCCCAGCCCCAGGCUACUCACCGGCGCGCGGGCGGGCUCGGCUGCCGCGGGGGGACCGGUGCGCGGGCCCGCGGGCGGCU
rnacentral:lncRNA from 1 species